rnacentral:lncRNA from 1 species
CCAUCUCACCGCAGCCAUCUUCUCCUCUUCUUUUUCUUCUUCUUUCCUCCCAAUCCCUCACCUCAUCUCGCCACCUUCUCUGUACACACCGCCGCCACCACCCCGAGCGCCUCCGCACACGCCCUCCAUGCACACAGUGACCACAGCCACCCCAUCACCACUCGCCCCUCUUCCCUUCUGCUCGGCAGAUAGGCCACCACCACAGAAUGCCGCCCAUCACCAUCGCAGAAUGCCG